UACGUAGGGUGCGAGCGUUGUCCGGAAUUACUGGGCGUAAAGCGCACGUAGGCGGAUCGGUCAGUUAGGGGUGAAAUCCCAGAGCUCAACUCUGGAACUGCCUUUAAUACUGCCGAUCUCGAGUCCGGAAGAGGUGAGUGGAAUUCCGAGUGUAGAGGUGAAAUUCGUAGAUAUUCGGAGGAACACCAGUGGCGAAGGCGGCUCACUGGUCCGGUACUGACGCUGAGGUGCGAAAGCGUGGGGAGCAAACAGG
rnacentral:rRNA from 1 species